GUCCUUUUAACUCCCUGGGUCUCGGCUUCCUAUCCCAGCUUGGUCAGCAAAUAGAUCACUGUGGACUAGGAAAAGGUGCACACAAACUCUUUGGCAAAGUAGUACAUGGUUAAGUUGCUCAGUUCUUUAUCUUUCUCUUCAGUAGCGUAUCCUGCUGUGCUCAUGUGAAACUUGUUUUUCACACCUGCUGUGUGACAUUGUUGUAGUUUACUAUACUGCUUGUGCUCCUGUAUUUUCCAUUCUCAGUGUUCACAUACUUGCCUACAGGGCAGUCCCAGGGUUG